UGACAGUACUCCUACGGGGAGGCAGCAGUGGGGGAAUAGUUGCACAAUGGGCGCAAGCCUGAUGCAGCCAUGCCGCGUGUGUGAAGAAGGACCUUCGGGUUGUAAAGCACUUUCAGUCGUGAGGAAGGUAGUGUAGUUAAUAGCUGCAUUAUUUGACGUUUAGCGACAGAAGAAGCACCGGCUAACUCCGUGCCAGCAGCCGCGGUAAUACGGAGGGUGCGAGCGUUAAUCGGAAUUACUGGGCGUAAAGCGCAUGCAGGUGGUUUGUUAAGUCAGAUGUGAAAGCCCGGGGCGUCAACCUCGGAAUAGCAUUUGAAACUGGCAGACUAGAGUACUGUAGAGGGGGGUAGGAAUUUCAGGUGUAGCGGUGAAAUGCGUAGAGAUCUGAAGGAAUACCGGUGGCGAAGGCGGCCCCCUGGACAGAUACUGACACUCAGAUGCGAAAGCGUGGGGAGCAAACAGGAUUAGAUACCCUGGUAG
rnacentral:rRNA from 1 species